CCUUUAGACUACUAAGAAAACUCAAGUAGCUUUUAGCAAAAGAGAGUAGGUUGAUGAAGGAA
rnacentral:ncRNA from 1 species